UAUUUUUUCUUUCAGAAAAAGAAGUAACGUACGUUACUGUACUUUCAAUCUAAAUUUAUCCCGUUUGCUCUUAACCGCUGUCCUGUCUAGUAGCAGCGUUUCCUUGCCUUCUCACGUCACAUCUUCUUUAUCUCCCCCCCUCCCUCCUUUUGUGUGGGAACUGCGAGCGAAGAGUGGCAAGGAUGUUAUUCCCUGGUUUCGCGACUGCGUCGGUGAUACCCAUUCUCUGCUUCUACUCCGCCCACCGCCUAACCAUCCUUGCUUUCCUUUGUACCUGCACGCUGGCAGAAAGUUGACUUGGCCCCAUGGACGUCCUAGCCGAGAACAACACCUGCGGCCAAACGCUCCUGCACCUCGUCUCCAGGGGCAACGCCAUCGUGGCCGCGCUGCUGCGGCUCUCGGACGAACUCAUACAGUUUGAAGCUUGACAACCGCAAAGACAUGGUGGAGUACGGUGACAUCCUCCUCGACUACAGCUACUUCAAGGUCAUCGACCACUUCGACAAGAUAGAAGCAAAUGAUGUAAAGAUAUGGCGCUUUACUGCCGUGAUGCAACUGCCCUUAUGGUGUGAUUUUUGUCAUCCAGAAGCAGAAAGUUUGGGUAUAGGCACGGUCCAGAGACUUGGAAGUGGCUUGCUUUCGAGUGGCGUGCAGUUUGCAGAGGCGGCAUGCGUACGACAACCUCACUUUGUUUUGCUUCUUUAAUAAACAGUUCUUUAUGA